rnacentral:antisense_RNA from 1 species
AGUGGAGGAGAUAUCCUUGCUGAUGGCAAAAACUGCUUUUUCUUUUUGAGACGGAAUCUUGCUCUGUCGCUCGGAUUGGAGUGCAGUGGCGCCAUCUCAGCUCACCACAACCUCCACCUCCUGAGUUCAAGUAAUUCUCUGCCUCAGCCUCACGAGUAGCUGACAGGCGCCCGCCUCCACGCCUGGCUAAUUUUUGUAUUUUUAGUAGAGACGGGGUUUCACCAUCUUGGCCAGGCUGGUGGAUCACUUGAGGCCAGGAGUACGAGAUCAGACUGGCCAAGAUGGUGAAACCCCAUCUCUACUAAAAAUACAAAAAUUAGCCGGGCAUGGUGGCACAUGCCUAUAGUCCCAGCUACUUGGGAGGCUGAGGCACAAGAAUUGCUUGAACCCAGGAGGCAGAGGUUGAGGCUGCAAUGAGCCAAGAUCACACCACUGUACACUCCAGCCUGGGUGACAGAGUGAGACUCUGUCUUUAAAAAAAAAAAAAAAAAGGAACAUUAACUGCAAUAUUCUUGAUGAUGCAAAUUUUUAAAAACUAAAUCCAGCCAGAUUUUUCAGCCUUAAAAACUAAGAUCCAAACUAUUCAACAUCUCUACAAAUUAUAUACUCAUUGAAUUCAGGAACAAUAACAGAAUU